rnacentral:tRNA from 2 species
AAUAGAGUGCCUGAUUAAAGGGCUAUCUUGAUAGGGUAGAUCAAGUACUAAUGUACCUCUAUUA